AAAAAGAUAAGCUAAUAAGUCAAGCUAUCAGGUUCAUACCCUGAAUAUAGAAGUAAAAUCUUCUUCUUUUUA
rnacentral:tRNA from 1 species